rnacentral:rRNA from 1 species
UACGUAGGGGGCAAGCGUUGUCCGGAAUCAUUGGGCGUAAAGAGCGUGUAGGCGGCUUGGUAAGUCCGCUGUGAAAGUCCAGGGCUCAACCCUGGAAUGCCGGUGGAAACUGUCAAGCUUGAGUCCGGAAGAGGCGAGUGGAAUUCCUGGUGCAGCGGUGAAAUGCGCAGAUAUCAGGAGGAACACCAAUGGCGAAGGCAGCUCGCUGGGACGGUACUGACGCUGAGACGCGAAAGCGUGGGGAGCAAACAGG